UCUCUGCUCCUCGUUUGAAAGCCAACAUGAAUGAUUUUGACCGGUUCAAGCUCCGGCGGGCAAAGCAGUCUUUCAACAAGGUUGUGCGGCUCCGCUUCUUGAAAUUGAAGUCCAUUUCAAAGAAGGCUGCCAAGAAAGCCCAGCCAGAGAAGAGUGAAGAGAAAGCUGCACCCCAAAAAAAAGUGAAUGCAGUAAAUAAAUUUGCUGAUGGAAACUCUUG